CAAGCAUUUUCUCCAGGAUACACAUUUGUUAUGUGUAAUGGUUUGUGUCUAUCAUUUGUAAUAUGGAACAAUAGCCCCCACAGCUAAUUGUCCACUUGCCAUAUUUACUUAUUUAUUCGAUCAACACUCUUUUCCCACUCUGUGCGUGACCCCAGAUUUACAGUGUGGUAAUUUGUUUAAAAAAAAGAUCAAUUUGAGAAUGUGCAUCACAGAAGCACAGUGUCAGCUGAAGGUCUUAAAGGACCACUCCGGUGAUUCAGCUUUACUGUUUAGUAAACUUGCAUCAGAGGCUGCGUUAUCUUAUUAGUGCCUUGCAUGGGUCAAGCUCCAAAAAACAAAGUCCUACAUCUCCCACAUCCUUUAAAUUCUGCAUAAAUGUACAGUUUGUAACGCAGGCUGUUUGGGACUCUGCAAGGCCUGUCAGAAUUACACGGGUGAUGUGGUGUAUUUAAUUUCCUUUUAUUAGUUUAUUUAACAGAGAGAAAGAGAUAUCAACUGAAACAGGAGACAGCAUUUCAAGAAUAAAUGGACUAGGACAAUAAUGCUGGGUCACUUUUAAGGCAACUAACAUGGAUCCGACAUGUCUCUCCUGUAUUAAUGUUUCCCCUUCUUUUUCACUGAGGCAGAUUAACCAGCUGAAAAACUCCAGAUUUUAUCAAUGAAUCUGACGCCAAAAUCAUAGUGGCAGAUAAAUGGUGGAAAGAGCUGCAAGCUGUAAGCCUAGUUGUAGUCAUCAGCUGGCUUACUGGUUAAUUUAAAAACCAUUAUUAUUAUUAUUAUUAAUAAACUGUUUACAUCACUUGUUGAGGUUUCACAUUCGCUGUAUUUCCUCCAUGUCAGGUUUAAUGUUGAAUAUAUCAUCAUGGACAAAAUGUUUGAAGUUAUAAUACAAUAUUAUUAUGUGUCUCCUCGAUGUUUUUGCAGUGAUACAACUUCCUCUCCAUGCAGGCACAAUGCUGGUACAUACUGUCGCACUUUUUAGGGAAAUGAGACCCCAAUAUAAACCAUAUUAACCCCCGCCACAGACAUACUAUACACACACACAUACACACACUGCAAAGAGAAGCGUCUAAAGUCACGGAAACGGUGACAUAAAAAUACGAAGUGUAAUAUUUUGCAACAUGAGUAUCAUUCCAAUAAAGUUUUACUUGUAAAAUUCUCC
ensembl:lncRNA